GGAGAUUAGAGCUGGAGAUGACAAAAGUGGGAACCCAGCAGAAUCACACAAGCCGAAAUCUUUUAACAAAUCACCAUUUUUCAAUCCUCCUUAAACCUAGUUCAACUCCCCAUUUUUAAGUUUAUUUCUGCCAAUACCGGUCUUAAUUUCCUCCAUUUCAUCCUCUGCAAAGGUGUAAAUGUGUGAACUGGGAGAGAUCGGUUAGAUUUGCGAUAUUGCAGAGAAAGAUGAGUUGCGGUUGCUUUGGUGGAUCAGUUGUUAAACGGAGCACCGGUCAGGACACCAGCGAUAUAGACGAGCAAUUGCUUCGGAGAGUUAACCAUUUCUCAGGCAAUCAAUUAAGAUCAGCCACAGAUGAUUUUCAUUCGAACAAUAAAAUAGGGCGUGGAGGUUUCGGAACAGUUU